rnacentral:tRNA from 1 species
GGCAUGAUGGUUCAGUGGUAGAAUUCUCACCUCCCACGUGGGAAACCCGGGUUCAAUUCCUGGCCA